GGACCUGUAGCUUAACUGAAUAAAGCAUCUGACUACGGAUCAGAAGAGUCGGGGUUUGAAUCCCUGCAGGUUCACUA
rnacentral:tRNA from 2 species